AGCCCCUCCUGGGUCAACCUGAAGGGCUCUGAGGAUGAAACAGUGGGGCGCACAGCUGGGCGGGGCUGCCGUUCAAGAGGGUGGGUGGGGCCUGCAGCAGCAGAGGGAUGGCUUCCACAUGGCCAGCACCUCCAGGCAUCUGACAGCUUUCAAUCAGCGUUUCCUGAG